UAAAGACUCCUUUGUUUGUACUUGCUCAUGAUUAAAAUAUAUUAUGUCAGCCAUGACUGGAAGACAGCUGAUUGUGGGAACAAGAUGGUGAUGGUUGGACUAGAGGUGGGAAAUGUCUUUGUACAGUUAUCAGCAUUUUCUUCGUCACCGAUAAUUAUUAAAACGUUUGGGUAUGGAUACAACCCAACCUGCCUUGCAAACCAAAGACACGUGUCAAAUAAUUAGAAACGUACAUGUGUCGCUGGACAAUGACUUAAAUAAAGAUCAAUCAAGGACUACCUUAAGCGUAAGUGACAAUUGUGUCAAUGGCAUCGGGAAUGGAUGUAGCGUUAGGCCUAAAUGUAGGCCUAACGUCAGCUUACAUUGUACAGAUGAAAUUAACAACAGUGUUGGCCUCCAAAGUAAUAUUCUAGAAAUAUGCAGUGAUCAGGAAAGUCAUCAUGAUACACAGCAUACUGAAGUUGAAAGUGAAAUUUCUAACAAAAAUUGUAUAAAUUCUGAUGUUACUGCUGGUAACACGAUUGUUACAACUUGUGAACGAGUGUCAGACUCAAGGGCAUUACCACUGGAGCCUGAGGAUGGAGAAAAGCAAUCUGUUUAUUAUAAGACUUCUUCAAAGUCGGAAAGAAUUAAGACUUGUAUACAGAAUUCUGUGAGUGAGGAUGCGAAGAAAAAAAUAGAACAAAUUUUGAAUGAUGUCAGUAAGCUUUCAGAUGUGGAGAAAUUGUUGCUGUAUCUUCAGUUGCCAGCUGGUGUUCCAUCAGAUGUUGAUCCAUUAAAACAAAAAAACCCUGGAAAUCCACUAGGCAAGAAAGCAGAAGUUGAAGUUGCACAGACUUUUACUUGGAUUAAAACUCACCUAGAGGAGGAUCCAGAUGUUUCUUUACCAAAGCAAGAAGUAUAUGAAGAGUACAGAGUAUUUUGUGAAGCUAAUAAGAUUGAAGCAUUAUGUGCAGCAGACUUUGGAAAAGUGAUGAAGCAUGUUUUACCAUCUGUUAAACCUCGUCGACUUGGAACUCGAGGAAAUUCAAGAUACUGUUACUCUGGAUUAAGAAAAAAGCUACUUGUGGAUACUCCUAUGUUACCUGAGCUGGAUAUCAGUGGGGAAGUUGACACUGUCAAGAUACCUAAAGACAGUAGUGAAGAUGACCACUGUAGUACUGCAGCUUGUCACCUACUUUUUGAAUGGGCAGAAAAGCUGUUGAACAAGAAAUUUAGCUCUGUUAGAGAACUGGCUUACUUCCUAGUGGAAAACAUGUAUGUAGAUAAUCGAUCAGUAGCAGCAUUCACUGUUCUGUCUUCAGGAUGUGGAAGUAAUUCUGAAAAAGGUCAGACUGGUUUACUGAAACAUAUAUCUGGAAGUCGUCGAAAAGAAACUCAAAUGCAUCUCCAGAGAAAACUUCAGGAAAAAGAGCUCAUCAAAGAACAAAAACGAAAACUUCAAGAACAGAGAGCUCUUAUGUUUAAAGCACACUCCUCUAAGUCUUCGUUAGGCAAGAAAUCUUCAGGAAUUAGUUCAAAGUGGAAAUCUGGAUCACCAUCAAGCUCUUUAGAAAAGCAUUACAAGCUCAGCUCAUUUGGGGAUAUGGAGACUGACACCAUAAAAACAGAACAGUUAAUAACAUUAAAUUCUGAAUAUGGUGAUUUAGAUGAUGAAUUAAAGCGAGAAAGACACAAAUCAGAACCCUGCACUAAAUCAACUAAUGCCAGCAGUGUAAAAGAGGAAAGAGCUUUAUCUGUUAUAGGAAUUCCUGAAAAUUCUGAUGAGGAAAAAUCCAAAAGUGCAUCGGGAAAUACCAAUAAAGAUUGCUUUGAAACUGUACAAAGUCUAGACGAAGCAUCCAAAAGACUAAACAAAUUACCAAUUCCUAGGAAUAAUAGUAGUGUUUGUAUAACUCAAGCGAUGCCCAGUAUCAUUAUUGUGCCUUCUACAUUUUCACACCAAGUUCAAGUUCAGUCACAAUGUGGUCAGUCUUGUCAAAAGUCAAAUGUUUGGAAAUAUAAAAAAAUCCAACCUAAACCAAUGUCUGGCAGAACAAGGCUAGGUUCAUCAAAGUUCAAAAGAAAUUUGUCAGUACUUCGAUGCAAUAUACAGAAUAAAGAUGAGAGUCAUCAAAAACAAGAUGUGGAAUUGGCAUCUAACUUACACCUAAGUGCUUCAUCUAGCGAAAAAUGUGACACCUUAUGCAAACCAAGUACUUACAGUGUUGGAGGUUUAUGUGAUGACAAUCAGAAAGCAGAUGAAUUGGUGACAAAUAAAGUUGUAUCUUUUACCAAUGAUGCUUCUAUUGCGACACCGAAAACAAAUGACGUAAGUAAGGUAAAAAAUAAUAAAAUGGAAAAUGAUCCAAUGUCUUGUUCUCAAAUACUUCCAUUUACUUGCAUCUCUAGUACUAGCAUGAUACAGGCAAAGAUGAAUCAAUCAAGUAUUAGUGGACUUGAGGACCAUACAAGUUUUGAUGAAAAUGCAGAGUUAAAAUUUCACUUAGACUCAGUAAAGGCAACCAACAAUAUAGAUUUGGAAUUAUUUAGUGAAUUAAGCCAACAGACAGUCAAACGACAUUUUGAGGAAAAUGAACCUCUUAUUAUUACAUCCAAAAAACCUCACUUAGAAUCACAAAAGAAUGAAACAGAAAAGUCAGAAGAUGAAAGCUGUUUACCUUGGUCAAAAUUGGAGUCACAGAAUUGUACAGAAAAAACUUUUGAUAAUAAAAACACAGAAUUGGUGGAACUUGGAAAUAUUUAUACUCCUAAGAAUAGGGGUAUCAUAAAACAGACAGACAAUGAGGAAGUGAGUAUUCAUGAAUUGGAGAGUGAUGCGCUAAUGGAAUAUCUACAGGAAAAGGCUUCUUAUUUCUCAAACCCAGCUAAAUCUGCUUUAGUUCCUUGUACCAGUCAGAGUUUGGCAGCCCAUUCUUCAACAUUCAAUUUGCUAUCAAAAGAAUGUAGUAGUAACCAGAACAACCAGCUUUCACAGUUGAGGAUGCUCUUGGAAAAAAAUUUGCCACACACUGUUACACGAGGAGUCGGAAAUACAAGACAGUCAUUUAGAUCAGCAAAGGUCAUAGAUAAUCCAAAUAAUGCAAAUGGUGAAGAUAGUAUUAUGAAGAAAGAUAGUUACUGUGGUAACUUUAGCGAGCUGCGCCAAGCACUAUUAAGACCUGCCAUUUCAAAUCCAACCAUUCAUUGGAAACAGUCAUAUAAGGGCAGGAAGACAGCAAACAAAGGAAAUGGUGUGCUCUUAGGAAAUCAAAUGAAACAUCUUGAAAAACUUUCUGAUACAAAUGUAAUAUCACAUCAAACCUCUGUAGAGGAACAAGAAAUAGUUCCAUGCUUUCCAGGAUUACUAAAUAAUAAACUACUUUCACAGUCAAAAACACAAAAUUCACACCCAUUAACAAAUUCUCAAGAACAACAUCUUGAUCAAACUGUAAUUAAUUCAAAUUUAGAUGAUAUCCAGAAUGAGGUAGAUUUAUCCAUAAAUGAUAUUAAACUUGAGAAUCAAUUUUCAGGAGAUUUGGCUUCUUUUGCUCAUAUGCAUUCAGUACCUCCAAGUCCAAACACUCGACGAAGAGCUUUUAAUUUCCUUCCGAUAUCACCUCACCAAACCCCGUACUCUGAUAUAGCAGGUACUCCAAUCUCUGCAUCUCCAGUUCCUUCACAAGGAAGAGGAGGAGGAGGGUCAGGUAUUUUAACAGGAUCUAGUAUUGGAGCCAGUGGGACUUCUCAGCCACCCAGUGCUGCAAGUAGUCCAUUUGUUUCUCCUAACUCAACACCAAUACCGUGGACCACACGUUCACGACACAAUUCUGGGCAAACUUCAUAUGGAACAGCCAGGCAUACUCCCUUUCAAAAUAUGGAUUCUGGUGUUUCUUCUGUUACAAAUUCUCCUUUUGUAUCACCUCAUGCAACCCCUGCACCUGUUAGUAGACUUAGACACAAUUCUAGCCAAAGUCAAGGAAAGACUGUCACAUUUAGUGCAGGACCUAUUGUUAUGCAUACCCAGACUAGCCACCUUGGUCAUAUAAUGCGAUCAAGACACAGCUCAGGCCCAGGUGGCCCACCAUCUUUGCAACCUGCCAUCUCACAGUUAGCAGCUCCAAGAAGUGCUCCAAUGUCCCCAAUGAUAGGAGAGAAUUCUUCUCAAGACCCUUUUAACUUUUGCUCUUUAGGAGGAACACCAACAAUUCGUUCGCGCCACAAUUCAUCUUCCAGUUUAAAUCCAUUAUCUCCAGUUACAGGUCCUCUCUCUCCUAAUGAACAUGUUAAAACAGAAUUCUUAAGUUUUUCUAGUAUGGAUCUUGCCAGUGAGACUCAAAAUGCUGAUCAGCCCAUGGCAAUCACUGUUGCAAAUGAAGAUAGUGGGAAUUUAGGUCUCAUUCAAGAUAAUGUUCCUGCAACCCUUCAGUCUCAAGAGGUAUUCUCUUGGAAUCCUGAAAAACAGCAACUUUCAGCUCUUGAUGAAUCUGAUUCUCUGAUACCAUCACAAACUGGGUGGCCAUCUGUCUUCAGUGGUAAGAAUAAUCAGUUAUGGUCCGGAAACAGGCAGAGGCAUGUUUCUGGAUCAGUUCUAAACCACCAUUCUGCUAAUGGAACUGUAAGCAUGUGUGAUUCUCUUUCACAAGAAGUCCAAAAUUUUCUAAAAAAUUCACCCCAGAUUAGCAUUGGAAAUCGCAGUCACUCGGUUCCACCUCACCAAAUGGUUCAGAACUUGCUUGAUCAAUAUGGAAAUUCGGAACUGUCCGAGGAAAAUUUUUCCAAGUCUUACCCUGUUACACCAGUGGUUAAUCAGUCUUUUAGUUUCCCAUCAUCUUCUUUACCACAUAGCAUGAGUAAUCUUCAUUGUCAUGAAGAUGAACUUACAACAUAUAGAAAUAUUGUGUUAUCUGAUAGUUUAUCCCAGCAGGACCCUCUACAAACCUCAGUCAGCCAAGAUUCCAAGUGGAAUAGUUUUGGUAAUGGCUGUGAUAAUAUGGAAGAAGAUUCAACAAGAAAAAGUGUAAACGAUUUGUUAGAUGACCGACCAUUAGAAGAUGACCUUCAGGCCACACUAGAAGAUCUAAGGGCUUGUGACGAUUUUUCCCAGUUUGCAGAAGAAUUGGAAGAAGACUUUAAAGACAGCAUGGGGGUAGUGAUUUAAAAUAAUUUUAUUGAAAAUGUGUAAUCUACUAACUAAUGAAAUAUAAACAUUUUUUACACACCUUAGAAUAGUAUGUUUUAUGAUAGUAUGUAUUUCUGCAUUACACUAGAAAUGUUAUUAAUCCUCUGUGGUGGUUUGUUUCCGUGUUUUGUAAAAAUAGAGUAUUGAAUUUAUGGACCACUCACUUUCAGUAAUAAGUGAAUUAAAAAAAGGAAUUCUCAGUGUUUGUGAACUACAAGGUGAUAAAGAUGUUGCAAAUAUCAUUCACAUACUUUCAAGAACGAAAUAUUGCAAUCAGGUAGUGAGUAGUAUGUGGUGAUUCAAAAUUAGUGAAAUUGUCAUCAGAAGAAGUGUAACUGUGUUUUCAAGAAAAGAAUAGGAGGGUCUUCAAAAUAUUGUCAUUUAAUUCAUGUAAUUCUGCCUGAAAUUUAAAGAAUGCAAUCCAAGACUGAAAAGAAAGGACUUUUGGCACCAGAUUACAUUUGCUAUUAUACUCAGCUUUAUCAGGAGUAUUUACUAUACAGGUACAUUAACAACUUGAGUAUGAUAUCUGAUAUUUCUAUAAUAAAUACUUACACGUUGUUAUAACAAUGCACAUAAUAUGACAAUAGAAGGUACACAUUCAUAGUGAAAAUGCAGAAAUUAAAGCAGAUAUAUUAACAUUGUAGUGUCAUACUGUACAUAUAUACACAAUUAAGAAAAACAAAUAGAUAGUGGCUGAUCUGUGCUAUAAAUCUUUAAGCAUAUGUUUUAGUCUUGUAAACUGACCUUGUAUUAUUAUAACUAAAAUAGAAUAUAUUCAAAUUUACAUUUAUACAAACAAACAUUCUAUGAAAUAAGUGAACAAAAAUCAGAAGUUUUCUGUAGUAAUUUUUCAAAAUUUUAAUAUCUGAAAUCUCAUAAAUGUAAAAGUUUUAAUGUAUCCCAAACAUAAGUAUGUUUACAUAGGAAUUUUAGGAAAGAAAACAAUGUGUUAUUUUUAUAUAUUUUAAUACUCUAAGAAAUCUGUUACACCUUGAAGCAGAUUCAUCCUGUGUUCUAUUUGGCUGUAGAAAAAACCUCGAAUAUAGGGUUACUUUUUUAGCAUGUUCACAAAUUUCUGAGAUAUUCUGGCAGACCAUUUCACCAAUUUGAUUAUUCAUUGUAACAGAUUUGAUAUACAUGGUUUUUGUAGAAAUUGAAACAAAAUUUGAAUAUUCUUAGUAUAAGAAAUUCAUUUAUAUGCAGUUCAGUGGACACUUUCAGAGUGGAUUAUAUAUAAUGUUCAUACUAAAGUAACAACAAAGAAAUGACAGCAUUGUACUACUGAUAGCAUAUUUGUGCAUGCUUAUUUGAUCUUUACUAUAAGUUGUUUCAUUCCUUCAGAAAUGAAGUUCUCCUUUGAAACUUCCAAAUUAUACUGUGUGUACUGUAUGUUUUAAAGGGAUGAAAUGACAGAGGUAUGGCUCAAAUGUUAUAUAUUUUGUUUUAUUAUCAUAAAUGGUUUCAAAAAACAAAUGUGUUGACAUGAUAUAUAGAUUGUGAAUAACAGGAUCUUAACAUAAUUAUUUUGAGUAGUUGGCUAGUAUACUUAUGUAAUUACAUUUACCUUCUUUUUUUUUUGUAUUCUUUGUGUAUAAUGUAAACGUUUGUUGCUUUUAUUGUUUAAGUCUCAUUUCAGAGAAGAUGCCAGAAGGUUUUUCAUGUUGAAAUAACAUAGUAUGGCCAUUAAAUAAAAAUUAAAUAAUUUCUUAGGACUUUAGCUUUAAAGAUUUUGUUGCUGCUAGAAAUUUAAUCUGUGGAUUGACAACUGGCUACAGUAAAUUGUUAAAAGUGCUCUGCAACAAUAGGGUGUUCAAAGUUCUGUGGUUAAAUGUGACUGAUAUUUUGUUUCAUUUAUAGAAUUAUUUAAGGUAUACCUACAUUUUAAUUUUUUUGUCUUUACUAUUGCAGCUAGGGCCUUUAAGCAUAACAUUCCAAGGUCUUAACUUUUAAAUGAUGGUAACUUCAUAAAUUACUCAGUUUUUCUUAUAGGAUAUUGUAUGAAAUGUGAUAAUGUUUUUGAUAGUUUAACAUAAAAAGAUUAAUUUUUAUUUAGUUUAAAGUUAGAUACAACAGUUAUUGUCAUAGAUAACAUCUCUUAAACUAAAGUGAUUUGCAUGAGAAUGAGUUUGAAAAUAUGUAGUGAUAUGCUUUUACUAAAUUUUUAAAUUUUAGUUAGUAGAAAAAAUCAGGAAAAAGAGACUGUUCUUUGAAUUAUAUUUUCUGGUGAAAGGUAUGAUAUGCAACUGAAAUUUUUAAACUAUUUGUAAAUCAGUUUUCAGGUUUAGUGUAUUUAUCACAACUACACUGUAGUUAUAGAAUACAAAGAGGGACUUGUAGCAUUUAUUUCAAAGUAAUAGCCCUUCCUUUUUUGUGCAUAAUGCUGUAUAUGUACCACCAUUAAGAAAUGAAAAAGACUGAUCAAACAUUACCACUUCUCUUCAGCUUGAGAGAAUAAUUAAAUUUCUCUUGAUGCUUUAGUUGUAUUAAGGUUUUUUUUGUUUUGCUUGAGAAGGUAAUUUUUUUCUCCAUAAAGGUGAGCCAGCACCUGAGGCUCUUUUUUGUUUUAACAGUAUUAUAUAUUUGACUUUUCCAACCUACCUAAUCCAGCAGAAUCUUGCAAUAAUAUUAAAUUUGAGGAUAUUUUAUUGCAACCAACAUAAAUAUUUCUCCAACUUUUUUUACACAUAUAGCAUUGGAACGUUUAUCAAUAUGUAUGUGCUAGUGUCUGUUAGUACGUCUUGCCGUGUCCAAUACUACGAACUGGUACCUGUCUACUCAGACAUUUGUCAUGAGGUUUUUCUCAAAAACUGUAUCUGCCAUUAAGUAUCUCGUAGUCGUUUAUGGUACUAGGACUUUUUUACUUUGUCUUUUCUAAACUAAAGUAUUUUGGUUGUUUGAUUUUUGUUCAUAGAUAAGUAGAUUUUUAAACCGAGAUGGAAUUUCCUAAUAAUUACAUUUGAGAUACUUGAAAGCUCAUCAUUAUCUUUAUAUUGAAAACUUCUGAUUUGGAGCAUCUCUCGUGGUGCUGAAAUCAACAGCUCUCAAUGUGAAUUCAGUUAGUAAUUUUUUAAGGGUUGUGUGAACUCUGCCGUCUGUCACCAUGACACUUGCAUUUUUUCUUUGCAUUGUAAUCUUACCCCUUAUCAACAGUGUGACUGAACCAAGAAUAAUUGCAACUACUAUUCAGGCUAUUAUAGCCUGCUUACAAACCUUUGCUGAAGCAUAAUUAAAAACAUACAGUAGAGAGUAAAUAGUAUCUGUAUGUAACUACUUCACUGCAUUAUUUACGCGUUAAAAAUUGCCAUAUUUUGGAUCAGAUUAAGAAUAGCAGUACUAUUUAUCACCGUCUUGUUUGUUUGUUUUUUGUCGUUUAUUUUUGUUUUUGAGGACUGUAAAGAUACCUUCACUAAAAGAUAAAUCGUUUGUUUGAAUAUUUCGAAUGUGGAAAUUCUAUUUCAUUUAUAAUUACUGAAGCUUCUACAAAAUUAAGUUUUAAAACUGUAAUUCGUGAUUCUUUCAAAGUGUUGUAUUUGUAUAUUAUAUAAAGGCUUAACACCUGAUCGAAUUGCUUGUAAAAUGUGGCUGAAAUAAGUUCGUUCUUAAAAUACGACGUAGAUGUUUUUACUAACACGCAUAAUUUGGACAACAAAUUUUAUGUUCUUGUUUAUUAAGUAUGUUGUUCUCACUUUUCUUGUGAGUUAUACUUCGGACAAAGAUCUCAUUGUUGAAAGGCAUAUCUUUCGUUUGUUCAAAUUCUAAUGCAUAGAAAUUAUGCUUAAAGUAAGAUGUGUCAUUUAUUAUUAUAAAAUAGUUUAGUCUCUAGUUUUUGUGUAUAACAUUUUUAAUUUCAAGUGCAUUUUAACGAAUUAGGGUAAAUGUUUUAGUUAUUAGUACAAAUAUACUUCUGAAGAAUUGUUCAUUAAUUCAAGGUUUUUGAGUUACGGUACUUGAACACCCUGGUAAUUUUUUGUAUUCAUACUUUAUAUGCAGUAGAUAAUAAUCUACAGAUCUAUUUAACUUUCUUGUUUUAUUUGUAAUACACCAUAACGACCCCCCAGUGACGCAACGCUAAGUCUGAUGACUUAUAACGCUAAAAACCAGGUUUCAGUACCCGUGGUUGGUACAGCACAGAUAGCCCAUUGUGUAGCUUUGUGCUUAACAACAAAAACACACAUACUGCAUCGUUUGUUUAAAGCUCACCAACUUUAGAAACGGAAAUAUAUAUAUAUGUAAUGUGCAAGUUUAAGCAGAUAGGGUUAUGCUUGUGGUUCUUUGAAUGUGACUGAUACAUCUUCACUGUAAAAACUACGUACGGAAACAAUUUCUUAGGGUCAAGAGGUGAUACAAACUACAAAAAAAUUCACUUUUCCAAUUCGGUCAUUAAACUAAUUCUCAAUACUAGACCUACUAAAAAUUCGAAAAGUUUCAACCAGUAAAGACCAUUCUAGGCAUUUCCUGUUCAAUUGUUUCUAUACAGCGCAAACAAAAGCAGUCGUGGUGGAGGAGACUUUUAGUAAACAAUGACAAUUUUAUCCCCAUGUAUAUAUUUAUAUAAAACAUCAUCAACAACUUGUGUAAUAUUGCAAACAAAUCUUCAAAUUAAGGCUGUAAAGUUUAAUGUAAAACCUGUUGUUUGUUUAUCAGAAUUCAUCUUUUUUAAAUAUUAUUUUAGUGCAAGUAUCUUGUUUGGAUUUUUUAAUGCUGUUUCUGAAUACUGUAGUCUUCCCGGUGAUUUUUUCCUAUUAACUUUAAAAUUGUGUUUCUACCAAAAGGUUAGUUAUAAAAAAUUAAUAAGGUACAUGUAAUCUUUGUCGUAACAUUUUUUUUUGUCUUCAAUUCCUGGUAUAUUUUCACUUUGAACAUGUGAGCAUCCAUCAGAAAUUAUAUCAGUUCAAGUUUGUUUUACGUUUUAUUCUGGUUGCUAUAGAGAAUAAUCUUUAGCUACUGAUGAAAAUUAUAGAUGCGUUCAAUUCGGAAUGAGUAACUAUAAAACUGUUUCUAAGGGGUUAACAUGGCAACAGUAUGUAAUUAGUCAAUCUGAGUUUGUUCUUUAACUGAAUUCAUCUGUCAUUGUGAAGUCGCCGUCUUCUCUGUGGUAGAAAUAAACUGUUGCUUUUCUUAAACGAAAAAUUCAGAAAUGAUUUGAGUGUGUGAGAAGUGACAUCAUAAUUUUCUUGUGUAAAUUGAGAAGAAUUGAGACAGUCAUGCAACUGUCAACUUUCAAAAAAUGUAAUUGGUGCUUCAGCUAUAAUCAAGAGAAUCGCUAUUUUUUUCAAACACUAGUAAAAAGUGACUGGAUUUUUCUAUUUCUGCUUGUAACUUGAAGAAUAAAAGGUGAUUGUCAGCAGUAAUAUGAAUAAAACUGCUUAUGUUUAUAUGUAAAAAAUAAUAUAAAAAAGAGAAUACUUACAGUGUAGAUGUGCAUGGAACCGUCCUCGAGUUUCAUUACACAGGAGAAGAAAGCUGGAUGUUUAUGGGUAUAUUUUAAAUAUGAUGUACUGUUAUGGCUCCUAGUUAAAGGAGAUCGUAAACUUAUGCUCCACUAUUUACGUUUAUGAUUAAAUUUUCGUGUUUUCGCUUCAAGAACGCAGAAGGGCUUGCAUCACCAAAAUCAUAGUUUAGCUUCAGUAUUAGUUUUAAUCAGAUAGCUUAUGACUCGAAUGAAUGUUAAGUUUAUAGUUCGUUAAGCUGUAAAAAAAUUAAAGCUAAAAUCUUUAGUAGAAAUAUUGUUUAUGAUCUCUUGUUAUAGUAGAAAGGUGUUGACUAUCUCAAACUUUUGGGAACUUUUAUAUAAAAACAGUGUUUAUAUUGCGCAUUAAAUGUUUUAUACUAUGAGAAAAAGUUUCCCAAGUUUUGUACUUUUACGAGUAGUGACAUAUAAGCAAAUGGAUUGGUAUGUUAAUUUUGCAUAAUCAUUUGAAGUAGUUAAUAACACUUCAGAAGAAACGAAGGAAUGCGAGAAUGUGUUGUGGUCUAAAACGUGUUGGAGGUAAGAGACGAUAUUUCUGAUAAAAAGGAUGUAAGUCAAUAUUAAGUAUCCUUGAAUAUACGGUUAUUCUAAAAUUUUAUUGGGAAUAAACGCUAAAUUAUUAUGUAACAAUGAAUUUUUUCUGUUUAUACAACGUAUCCAAAUCUAGUUUUGUAAUCAUGGCGUGGCUGCGAAAAGGUAGCUUUAGAUAUGAUGUGUGUGUGUGUGUGUGUAAAGGAUUUUUACAGUACGAAAGCCUUUUCAAAUUAAUAACUGACAUCAGCUAUAUAUGGUGAACUUAAUGUUUAAUUAUUCGUUAUUAAGAAUCAGCUGUUUUUUCAUAAAUAAUCAUGAUCUUCGGAUCAAUGUAUUGUUGGCAUAGACGUUCUUUGAGAUCUCAUGACAUUUUUCGCCGGUCAAGGUUUUCAACGCACAUGUAAUUUGCAAGUUUGACCAUCAGCUGUACAAAAUAAAUGUGUUGUCAGUGUAUA
rnacentral:misc_RNA from 1 species